rnacentral:rRNA from 1 species
UGGGUAAUCUGCCCUCGAUUCUGGGAUAGCCCGGGGAAACCCGGAUUAAUACCGGAUGGCCUCUCGAGCUUACGAGCUCGAAAGAAAAGGUAGCUUCGGCCUCCGAUCGAGGAUGAGCCCGCGGCGGAGUAGCUUGUUGGUGGGGUAAUGGCCUACCAAGGCGACGAUCCGUAGCUGGUCUGAGAGGACGAUCAGCCACACUGGGACUGAGACACGGCCCAGACUCCUACGGGAGGNAG